GACGAACGCUGGCGGCGUGCUUAACACAUGCAAGUCGAACGCUGAAGCCCAGCUUUUGUUGGGUGGAUGAGUGGCGAACGGGUGAGUAACACGUGAGUAACCUGCCCCCUUCUUUGGGAUAACGCCCGGAAACGGGUGCUAAUACUGGAUAUUCACUGGUCUUCGCAUGGGGGUUGGUGGAAAGGGUUUUUCUGGUGGGGGAUGGGCUCGUGGCCUAUCAGCUUGUUGGUGGGGUGAUGGCCUACCAAGGCUUUGACGGGUAGCCGGCCUGAGAGGGUGACCGGGAACAUGGGGACUGAGAUACGGCCCAGGCUCGUACGGGAGGCGGCAGUGGGGAAAAUUGCACAAGGGGGGCAAGCCUGAUGCAGCGACGCCGCGUGAGGGAUGGAGGCCUUCGGGUUGUGAACCUCUUUCGCUCAUGGUCAAGCCGCAACAAUGGUUGUGGUGAGGGUAGUGGGUAAAGAAGCGCCGGCUAACUACGUG
rnacentral:rRNA from 1 species